UUUGUUCUAUAAGUCAUAACGACUCUCGGCAACGGAUAUCUCGGCUCUCGCAUCGAUGAAGAACGUAGCGAAAUGCGAUACGUGGUGUGAAUUGCAGAAUUCCGUGAACCAUCGAGUUUUUGAACGCAAGUUGCGCCCAAAGCCAUUCGGCCGA
rnacentral:rRNA from 3 species